AGUGCUGGCUGGGAGAGCUGCAAGGAGAUGGCAUAUGCUGCCGAUGAAGGUGUUCUCCAGGAAUUUUCAGUUAGAAGUUUUGAUCAUUGUUCAUUUGGCCUCAGGAUGAACAUCAUGAAUAACUGGGAGAUGAAACAGGAAGCUCUAUGACACACUUGAUCGAAUAUGACAGACACUGAAAAUCACGACUCAUCCCCCUCCAGCACCUCUACCUGUUGCCCGCCGAUCACAGCCGGAAUGCAGCUGAAAGAUUCCCUGGGGCCUGGUUCCAACUGCCCACUGUGGACUCUGAGGCCUCUGCAUUUGCGGGUGGUCUGCCUGUGAUAUUUUGGUCAUGGGCUGGUCUGGUCGGUUUCCCAUUUGUCUGGCCAGUCUCUGUGUGUCUUAAUCCCUUGUCCUUCAUUAAAAGCAAAACUAAA
ensembl:lncRNA MIR4435-2HG MIR4435-2 host gene